CAGAACUCUUGGGGUAUUGCCAAAGGAAAUCCACUCGUGCCCAUUGAACUCAAAGUGGCUGUUUUCUCAUGUUUCCAGUCCUUUAGGGAGAGGCAAAGAGCAGGGGAUGGAAAAGGGAGUCCUUUUCCUCUACCACACCAAAGCAGCACCAGUGUCCAGCAGACCAUGUCCAAAUGCCUCUUCCUGAGCAGGGUUAGGAGCUUGUGGCCAAGUGUUGGGUCUCUUUGCAGCUCUGAAGACAAUGAUCUGGCCAGCAGGAAUGCAAGUGGAGCCCAGAGUUUGCCUUCUGUGGAUGCUAUGGUUGAAAGGAACUGACUCUUGAUGUGGAGAUAAGGCUGUGUUUUUUUUGCUUCCUUUGCUGCUUCAUAUUUGGAGUUUAAAAUUUACCCUGGUACAGGCAGGUUACUCUUGGUGUGGAACAACAACUUAAGGGAAUGGGUCAAGUUCUUCUGGGGAAGGGUAAGAGAAAAGAGGAGGGGAUAGGAGGCAUUGCCUCAACUUCAUCUCUUCAUAAUUGUGGCAUCAGAUAUAUUCAACAGGAAAUUAAGUUCUUGUAAAGGGGUGGGGGAGAAGAAUCAAAGCAACCCAGCAGAACAGUUCAUUCAGCUGCGGUUACAUUUUUCAUUAGAUCCUCUGAAAUGGGUCACUGGGUGGUCAAAACCAUAUUAUUAUUGUGCAUGCAGUGUGACUUUCACUUCCCUGGGUGCUCACAGGGCAGGUAAACAUGGGGAAAGAGCAAAGGGGGAAUUAACUGGUUUCUCGCCAUCCUUCAGGGAACUGUGGUGCUGCACGGGAUGAGCUGAGAUCUGAGUUCUGCUGCUGAUCAUGGGUGGGUGGCAGCAUUGGCCUUAAAGCUAAAGCUGUCUUUAAAGCUCCCUUUUCACACCGGUUGUAGGUGGGUUUAGGUGAUCCAUUAAUGUUGUCUUACAAAUUUGGGCAGAUUGAGAGGUUUUGAUGAGUCCCAAUUCUUCUCCAAAGCACCUGCUGAAGACUGCAGAUCUUGUGAAGGAGCAAAGGACAAUGUUGUCAGGCAUCCCUUAUCAGGGUUAUGAGCUUGGCAGGCGCAGGAUUCCCGCAAACCGGCGCUUCUGGGCCAGGCAUGGACCCGUGGUCUGACCCAAUCCAGCUAAAUCCUUUGCAGUAGAUGCCCAGGAAGCCAGCUGAAGGAAGAUACGGAGUGAUAAGGAGGAAUAGAGCUCUCUUCUUGAGGCCAGUAUUCCUUUGGUAAGUGAAUAAAAGAGACCAAAUCUGCACUAGUAAUGUAUUGAGGCAUUUGUGGCCCCAGAUACUCAGAAGACGGUUUGCUGGCCCUGAGUCUGUCCUGAGAAACUGGUCAAAUGAGAUAGCAGCAGGGAGCUAAGCAGAGCUGCAGAGAAGCUGCAAUGAGCAUGUGAGUUGUAACGGACAGUCCCAUCCCUCCGGAGAGGAAAAUUCCAGGUGUGAGGUGGGAAAAUGACGUAACCUCCCUGGGAGAUCCCGACUCCACGUCGUCACCUCCGUGGCCGUCGGAUGCCUCUCGGAGCAGCAAUUUGGGUUCCCAGCAGAAAAGACAGAAAUGCAUCUGUUUACUUUUUGGCUAUCUAUGGGUUCAUUAACCAGGCUUGAGGAUGGGAGAAGCAGCUGAUCUGAUUUGACUCUUGAUGCACAAAUGUGUCCUGUUUGGAGCCAAAGCAAGUGUUUCCUUGGGGAUGGUUCCAGCAUGCCUUGCUCCUGCACGCGUUGCAGGCCAACUCCAUGGCUAGAAUUGAAGCCUAUUUUAAAAGGAAAAGCUUUUUUUUCCUCCCCCUUAUAGUCAGUUUUCUUCUUGAUUUUGGUAUGGAGAGAAGGCAAUCACUGAGGGUUGAAUUUAACUUGUUUCUUUCCUGUUAUCUGUAAACAGGGGAUAAGCAAAUAAUUUAGUUCCUAUCCUGCCUGCCCCCAGAUUUUAUAUUGCAUCUAUUAUCUUAGAAUUUAAGCUGAAGUGUGUUUUGAUUAGAAGUAGAAUAAAAAGUUGAGAGCCGA